rfam:Pteropus alecto contig166593, whole genome shotgun sequence.
GACUGACAUUAUGAAGGCCUGUACUGAAGACAGCAAGCUGUUAGUACAGACCAGAUGCUUUCUUGGCAGGC